rnacentral:rRNA from 1 species
AUGUUUUCACUAUUCAAAAACACACACACAAGAUUUGUAAUGGGAUGGAGCGUCAAGAUUAUAUCUCACGUAUUCAAUCCUAUGGAAGACCAGGGAUGGAAACAGCAAAUUAACAGGUAUAACCUAGAGGGCAGAAAAAAGUUACUCCUGACGCGAGUAGUAUUUAGUACGUACCACGGGAGAUUAGGCGUUGAUCCAUUAGUGGGCUGCAAAGCACCAGUAUUUGGUGAGAUUAAUAUCGAGCCGUUCACGACCGAAGGCGUGGCCGGCGAAAUAGAAGCUCUGAAGCUGUGGUGGAGAGGCGCUGUGCUGCUGCGCCGUCGCUCCUGA